AUUGAACGCUGGCGGCAGGCCUAACACAUGCAAGUCGAGCGAGCGGCGGACGGGUGAGUAAUGUAUGGGGUCUGCCGGUUGGGGGGGGAUAACUACUGGAAACGGUGGCUAUUACCCCAUACUUUCGAAUAACCCAUAUGGGUGUAGCUAGUAGGUAAGGUAAUGGCUUACCUAGGCGACGAUCCCUAGCGGGUCUGAGAGGAUGAUCAGCCACACUGGGACGGAGACACGGCCCAGACUCCUACGGGGGCAUGAGUGGGGAAUAUUGCACAAUGGGGGCAAGCCUGAUGCAGCCAUGCCGCGUGUAUGAAGAAGGCCCUAGGGUUGUAAAGUACUUUCAGUCGGGAGGCGUUACCGACAGAAGAAGCACCGGCUAACUCCGUGCCAGCAGCCGCGGUAAUUC
rnacentral:rRNA from 1 species